rnacentral:rRNA from 1 species
UACGAAGGGUGCAAGCGUUACUCGGAAUUACUGGGCGUAAAGCGUGCGAAGGUGGUUCGUUAAGUCCGAUGUGAAAGCCCUGGGCUCAACCUGGGAAUGGCAUUGGAUACUGGCGGGCUAGAGUGCGGUAGAGGAUGGCGGAAUUCCCGGUGUAGCAGUGAAAUGCGUAGAGAUCGGGAGGAACAUCUGUGGCGAAGGCGGCCAUCUGGACCAGCACUGACACUGAGGCACGAAAGCGUGGGGAGCAAACAGG